AGCUGAGGUCACGUGACAGCUCUGACCAAUGGGCUGUGGGCAGAAGCAACAAGCACCACUUCCGGGCUGAAGCAUGGAGAAGCAGAGAAGCAUGUGAUCUCCCCGCAGUCUCUUCCGGUCUUGUGACCCAGAAGGCCUUGUGGUGAGAUGGUGGAACUGAGCUGAGCUGGAAGCAGCCCAGGUUGCCAAAUUGUCAUUUGGAAGACACCCCUGGCAACCUUUGUAGAGCAGCAAAAUUUCACCCAAGGGGAUCUCCCAUUCCUCUUUCCUGGAAGAGACUCCAGGGUAAGCAAAAAAUAGAUCCCAUCUCACCUCCACAGGGUGUGAGAAUCCUACAGAACUCUUGGUGCAUUUUGUAAAACCACAAACUUCUUGAGUUUGGAAAGAAUUCUGGAGUCUUUCAGUCCUAAGUCACAGACCCCAGCAUUGAUUACGGAGUCUACAGCAGCACAGAAUUCCAGAGUCACAGAAAUCAAAGCUCCAGGACAGUCCUGGAAAGAAACAGGAGAGCGUGGCCACCCAGCUGCCCAGCCACCAAGGCCUAACCCACCAGGGGGGCUAUAUUGGCUUCUUCUUGGGGACGCCCAGUACAGCAGGCCCCCCGGUCCUCCCUCCCCAGGCCUGUGUCUCACGUCUCCACAGUGGGAUUGCAAGCAAGCUGUCCCCAUGCAGCAGAUAAAUAAAUAAAUAAAUGAA